CCUACGGGAGGCUGCAGUGGGGAAUAUUGCGCAAUGGGCGAAAGCCUGACGCAGCGACGCCGCGUGCGGGAUGAAGGUCUUCGGAUCGUAAACCUCUGUCAGCAGGGAAGAACGGUCACUGUGCUAAUCAGCAGUGAAUUGACGGUACCUGCAAAGGAAGCACCGUCUAACUCCGUGCCAGCAGCCGCGGUAAUACGGAGGGUGCGAGCGUUAAUCGGAAUUACUGGGCGUAAAGCGCUCGUAGGCGGUAUGUCAAGUCAAGGGUGAAAUCCCCGCGCUCAACGUGGGAACUGCCUUUGAAACUGGCAAACUGGAGUGUGUGAGAGGAUAGUGGAAUUCCAGGUGUAGCGGUGAAAUGCGUAGAUAUCUGGAGGAACAUCAGUGGCGAAGGCGACUAUCUGGCACAUAACUGACGCUGAGGAGCGAAAGCGUGGGUAGCAAACAGGAUUAGAUACCCUAGUAGUC
rnacentral:rRNA from 1 species